rnacentral:rRNA from 1 species
GACAGAGGGUGCAAACGUUGCUCGGAAUUACUGGGCGUAAAGCGCGUGUAGGCGGUUUCGCAAGUCGGGUGUGAAAGCCCAGGGCUCAACCCUGGAAGUGCACUCGAUACUACGGAGCUGGAGUACUGAAGAGGAGAGCGGAAUUCCCGGUGUAGAGGUGAAAUUCGUAGAUAUCGGGAGGAACACCAGUGGCGAAGGCGGCUCUCUGGGCAGAUACUGACGCUGAGACGCGAAAGCAUGGGGAGCAAACAGG